GUGGGGAAUAUUGGACAAUGGGCGAAAGCCUGAUCCAGCAAUGCCGCGUGCAGGAUGAAGGCCCUCGGGUUGUAAACUGCUUUUGUACGGAACGAAAAGCUCUGGGCUAAUACCCUGGAGUCAUGACGGUACCGUAAGAAUAAGCACCGGCUAACUACGUGCCAGCAGCCGCGGUAAUACGUAGGGUGCAAGCGUUAAUCGGAAUUACUGGGCGUAAAGCGUGCGCAGGCGGUUUUGUAAGACAGUGGUGAAAUCCCCGGGCUCAACCUGGGAACUGCCAUUGUGACUGCAAAGCUAGAGUGCGGCAGAGGGGGAUGGAAUUCCGCGUGUAGCAGUGAAAUGCGUAGAUAUGCGGAGGAACACCGAUGGCGAAGGCAAUCCCCUGGGCCUGCACUGACGCUCAUGCACGAAAGCGUGGGGAGCAAACAGGAUUAGAUACCCUUGUAGUCC
rnacentral:rRNA from 1 species